CGGCGCGAGAGGAGCCUUUCGGCGGGAUUGAGAUAUCGCGAGAGUGAGCGCGAGAUUUAAACAAACGAGCAGGGCCUUCGGAAAGAGCAGCGUGAAAUGGUGAUGAUGGUGCAGUGUGGGAGAGAGGUGAUGUCACAGCCAUGGGUUGGAUCCUGUGGACGUAGAUCCAUACGGUUCUUUCUCAGAGGUGUCCCUUGCUCUGUCUGAAUCUGAUAGGAAUGUGGAGUGACUUCCUCUUGCAUGUAUCCUGACAUGGACCAUGUUCCAGAAUUGUGAACUGGGAUUCGAGUUUGAUCUCGAGGCUUCAGAACUGCCAUACCAGAAGACAGGGAAGAUAUGGUGUUAUCAUCAUCAAGCUCAUCUGAGAUGAACAAUUGUGUGUCAUCAACGUAACUGUGGAGAUCAAGUUUAUGCUCUCUAAUGAAGUCUCCAAAGGGGAGCAUGUGUAAGGAGAAUAAUAGGGGACCAAGACAGUUUCCCUGAACAAAAGUAAAAGUGAAUGCAGACAAAUCUCAAGGUUGGAUAUUUUGUACAUACU